AUAAAAUAAAUUUGAAAUAAAUAAAAUUGGAACNGUACAGUGAUUAGCACAGCUCCUGUGAAAAGAUAACAUGCAAGUUCAAGACUCAUUCCAUCUUUUU
rnacentral:snRNA from 1 species